rnacentral:lncRNA from 1 species
CCCAUCCAAUUGACACUUGGCAACAAUUCAAGUGUCAAAAACACGUCAAAAGUCUAUGUACAAAUAGCAACGUUUGAUUAGUAAGAACCUUGCCACAUGUACACUAUAGUGCACACUUUAGUUUACACUUUGCCACGUGUCAUUACCUUGUUGGACAAUUUAAAUGUCAAACAGGUUUCCCAUCCAAUUGACACUUGACAACAAUGCAAGUGUCAAACAACGUGUCAAAAAUCAGUGUACAAAUAGCAAAGUUCAAUCGAUAAGAACCAGCUUCAUGUACACUAUGGUGUACACACUUCAUUUUACACUUUGCCAUGUGACAUUACACUAUCGGACAGCUUAAAUUUCAAACAAUUUUC